GAUGGACGCUAGCGGCAGGCCUAACACAUGCAAGUCGAGGGGCAGCACAGAAACAGCAGUGUUUUGGUGGCGACCGGCGGACGGGUGCGUAACGCGUAUGCAACCUACCUUUAACAGGGGGAUAACGGAGAGAAAUUUCCACUAAUACCCCAUAACAUCGAUCAAGGCAUCUUGAUUGGUUGAAAACUCCGGUGGUUAAAGAUGGGCAUGCGUUGUAUUAGGUAGUUGGUGAAGUAAUGGCUCACCAAGCCUACGAUACAUAGGGGGACUGAGAGGUUAGCCCCCCACACUGGUACUGAGACACGGACCAGACUCCUACGGGAGGCAGCAGUGAGGAAUAUUGGUCAAUGGGGGCAACCCUGAACCAGCCAUGCCGCGUGCAGGAAGACGGCUCUAUGAGUUGUAAACUGCUUUUAAACAGGGAUAAAGCACAGUAUGUAUACUGUGUUGAAGGUACUGUAAGAAUAAGGAUCGGCUAACUCCGUGCCAGCCGCCGCGGUAA
rnacentral:rRNA from 1 species